CCCUCAUGCAGUGGCAGCGCCCAGCGUGUCCCUCGUGUGCCACGUCCAGAGUACCGGUGUCCGUGGUGCAGGCAUUAGCGGUGCCAGUUCCUGGCCAUGAAAAAAAGUUCCUCUUUUUCAUCCCAUCUGUGAAGACAUGAGAAAGCAAAUAGUGAAUGCGAAAGGUUUAAGUUAUGAAUUGUAUAUGUGUGAUUACCCCUCAGUCGGCCUUCUCUGUGAUUUGAGUGGAAACCGAUGGGACGCCAUGGGAGAAAGGGGCCUUCAGCAAACACCACAGUCGGUCUCCAAACCUCCCACUGGCAAGAAACCACUUUGCUCAGAGGUUUAGUUCUCUCUUCCCUCUCCUGGCAGACCCAUCC